rnacentral:rRNA from 1 species
AUACGGAGGGUGCAAGCGUUAAUCGGAAUUACUGGGCGUAAAGCGCGCGUAGGCGGAUUGGUAAGUUGGGUGUGAAAGCCCCGGGCUCAACCUGGGAAUUGCAUUCAAUACUGCCUGACUAGAGUAUGGUAGAGGGAAGCGGAAUUCCGGGUGUAGCGGUGAAAUGCGUAGAGAUCCGGAGGAACACCAGUGGCGAAGGCGGCUUCCUGGGCCAAUACUGACGCUGAGGUGCGAAAGCGUGGGGAACAAACAGGAUUAGAAACCCCAGUAGUCC